UUCACCUGGGACCGGGAUCGCAAACAGUGCCAGGAACAAGCUCAGCAUCCAGUCCAGCCGUCGAUCGAGGGGACACCGACAGGAAAAACAGCAAGGCAGGAGGGAGGUGGCUUCGUUGCGGUCCGGAGCAUGGCAGCGGCUAAUGAGCCUGGAGUGGGACGCUGGCAGUGGCAUCGAGUGGGCAGCUUGCAGAAGGGCGAGCAUGAGGAACCGGUACCAGCUGUUACACUGGCAGAGAUGACGUCGGCGAGGUGGAGGAGUCAACCAGCAACAGGAGAAAGGGUUACCACCUGCGGAGUUUGAAAAACAAAUCCAAGGGGACACCACAUCUAAAGUUACUCAGUGUCUUACAGAGGGGCACAACAUCAAGAAUGGAGGUGGGGGUGUGCGCGGAUUGUUGCUGCUGAGCUUCACACUCCAACCACUUGCGUUUUCUUCCAACUUCCUUCCACCAUACCCAUUCCACUCUCACUCACCUAAUGUCUCUGUCCCUCAGAGAUAUUUGGUCUUUGAUGAUGUAUGACAGACAACAGCUACCACUCCCAGUGGUACUGAUGGGAAUGGGGAACUGCUGGUCUGUGACUGACUGGCAACUCUUAAGUAAAGUACUGAGGUCGCCCCAAUGCUGGCCUAUUAAGUGCUUGAUGGCUCUUGAUUCUGACCAUCUUUCCUCCAUGGAGAUGCUAUGUGGCAUGCACCAGUUAUCCAGUUGAUUGGUGAGACUCCCAUGGCGAAAGUUAAUUCCGGCACAUUCUGUCUGAGGAAAUCCCACCAUAAAAAGUUUCUGGGAAUUAAAAUCAUUUUAAGAAACUUCUAACAGAAUUAUUGUGCAUUUUAACAUAAGACUGACUGUCCCUCAGGCAGCUUUCUUUGCUUUUCACAUUCCCUCUACCAGCUGGCUGUUGUUGUCGAGUGAAAAAUCUUUUACAACUGUAUGUUUCCAUUCAUUGAAUGGUUCCAAAUAGUCCUGUUAGUAUUUUAACUGAACAUUUCUAUACAAAAUGUUGUUGGGACUGGCUUUAAAUUUUGCAUUGAAUGUGAACAAAAAAUUCUUCCUGUUUUCAUAUUAAUUUUUUUCUUUGUGACAUUGGAAGGAGAAAUCAAGUCAAUGUUGCUGUAAAUAAAGCAAAAUGAAUUGAGCUGUAAAUUUUGCAUCCUAUAACCUGUCGUCUGCAAACAUUGAGAUGUGCGAGUCGAAAGAGUUGUAGCCCAUUUACCUUGGAGCCAAUUUCACUCAAAAUUCAGAAUCAGUAAGAUGCUUUAAAAAUAACUGGAAAAUUCAAAUAUAGAUACUUUUAAAGAAACCUGAAGAUAUUUAUUCCGUCUAAGUCUUGAAAAACGAUCUAUACAA